GGGGGUAUAGCUCAGUGGUAGAGCAUCUGACUGCGGAUCAAGAGGUCUCUGGUACAAACCCGGGUGUCCCCU